UACGAAGGGGGCGAGCGUUGUUCGGAAUUACUGGGCGUAAAGGGCGCGCAGGCGGCUCUGAAAGUCAGAUGUGAAAGCCCCGGGCUUAACCUGGGAACUGCAUUUGAUACUUGUGAGCUUGAGUACGGGAGAGGAUAGUGGAAUUCCCAGUGUAGAGGUGAAAUUCGUAGAUAUUCGCAAGAACACCAGUGGCGAAGGCGGCUCACUGGCCCGAUACUGACGCUGAGGCACGAAAGCGUGGGGAGCAAACAGG
rnacentral:rRNA from 1 species